AUACUCGUGUAGUAGCUAACGUAACAAACGUUUUAUGAAGUGUACUGGAAUGAGUUUAAAACUGGAUUUAGAACAAGGACUUAAAGGCUUGCAUGAUAACAAGUUUGACUCUACAUAUUGGUCAACAUAUUUUCGUGAUAAAAAUAAAAGUCUCAACUACAUUCUUAAUUAACAGAUUCAGACAAUAGCAUUCCAACACCAACGCUUUCGACUAAUUCAAUUUAGACAUCAUGCCGCGUCUUUACGCAAACGGCUUUUUGUUGAUUAGCUGUCAACAAGUAUUAAUAAAUUCAAAAUUUUCAAAUACGCCAGGAUUAGCUAUCAUAUUGCAAAAUAGGUGUCAGUAAAUAUGUAUUAGUUAAUAUAUGUGCAGGACAAAAAUUAGUUAAUUUACCUGUUUUUAAAAUCUUUAAAAAGUCAACAGACUGACAGUAGUUACAUGGGAUAUAUUGGUUGAAAAACGAGGUUUUAAUUAAAAAAGCUCAUAAUACUUUCAUAGUAUAUAAUACUAUUAAAUUGAUUCUCUAAGAGAGAUCAAAAGAAAUUCCUUGUGAGCAUCGAACCAUUAAAUAUUUAGAGGUAUAUUGCAUCUACGAAUAGCAACUCCAAGCAGAAGAAAGAGGCUGUUGACAGAUAAGCAAAGAGAAAAACAAAAUGGCCACCAAGGCAAAUUGGGAUAUUAUGAUAUCCUACCAUCAUGCGUCUGGCAAGGAGUACAUGAAAAGGAUUAAAGAGUCAUUAUUAAAACAGGAUUACUCUGUUUGGACUGAUGAAGAUCGAGUGUAUGGAGAUUUAGGUGCACGGAUGGCAGAAGGCGUUGCAGGAUCAAAAUUGAUCAUUCUUUUACUUUCAAAGGGAUAUGAAGAAUCUAAAAACUGUCAGAAAGAAUACAACUUGGCCUGUGCGCAACACAAGAAAAUUAUCUGUGUAAUAGUUGAGAAAGGUUAUAAACCUCCAGCAGACCAUGUGCUCAGUUUGAUCCUGGGCAAUAACAUGUACUACCAAUUAUACAGAGGUGAUGAAACAACUUUUCAAAAUCUAUUAAAAGACAUCUCACAACAGCUAUUAGGAGAAGCCCCAGUAAAGACUGAGCCCAUUUUGAAUUUUUGGAUGUAUAAAGACAAAGAAGAAAAUAUCAUUGUUAAGUUUCAUAAUAAAAACUUAAAAACCGUUCAGAGAAUUACUAUACAACAGGACGGUAGUGAUACCAAGGUAGAACUGAAAGAAUCAUCAGACUUUCAUGAAGAAAUGAGAGACAAUAAGCUUGUGUUAACAAUAUAUAAGACAGCUGCUACCUGGUACAUCCUAAAACUUGUCAUAUCGUUGCUGGACAUUGAUGGAAAUAAAGAGAUUCUUGAAGUAGACAAUGUCAACAUUGCCUGCGCUCACAAGUAUUACAACAAAGAAAGUAAAUUUUCUCUCCAUACACAUAAUAGUGACAAAGUUGCAGCAUAUAUCAAGUCAAUUAUCAGCACCCCUGUUCUUGAAACUAACAUUCAGCUGUUCUGUUGUGGAGAAGUAUAUGAAAAAUGUAGAAACGAAUACUUAAGAUUUUCAAGAAAUUAUGUUAAUGAAAACUGCACAUCCAACAAUGCCUUUCUAAAAGAAGCUGUCCAAUUUCCACCACCAAUGGUAAAUGAAGAGAUUUCCAGCUUUGCAUUUCGACUAAAGUCAAUUCUCAGUGAAAUUGGGCACGUGUUUGUGAUCUUCACACAUUACAAUGCCACGGACAAUCUGAGACUUCUAAAUUUAAAUACUUAUUGUGAUCGUGUUCAAGAUUAUAAACACAGACUUUUGCUGCUCCAUCCAUCUCAAAAUACCUUCGUCAACAUAAGAUACACUAAAACUACUAGUGGGUCAAUCAUUGAGGAAGAAUUUCAAAAUGGUGAGGUAGAUAUCAAACAUUUGUUUGCAAUCAAUCAACAAUUUAUCUCUGAUAGUACAUCCAGAUUUAUAAAUGUUGUUGCUGCACCAAAUUUCCGAAAGUUAGAGAACAUCGACGUUUGUGCAAACUGUCAAUUGUUAGAUGAGCCUAUUUUCUCGGACGACACAAAGGUUCAAAAUUUCCUUCUAUCUCUGGGAUUAACAAGAAAAGAUCUUGAUCACAAAAGCAAAGAGCAGUACAUGAACAUAUUGGGUCAAGCAAUGUGUUUCAUGGCUAGUAGGGAAACUGUGAACACUGUUCCAACAAUCAAAGAUGAUAUCCAUGGGAAAAUAUGCACUGUUCUAUUGUCAUCUGAGCAGUCAAAUAUUUUUUUUAACGAAUCUAAAAAGAAAAUUAUUGUUGGACCAUUAGGAAGUGGUAAAUCGGUUCUUGCUUUAUCUCAUCUAAAACAACUUUACGAAUGUUGUGAAGGAAAAUGCACAAUAUACUAUGUCAUGUGGAGUGACAAAACAAUACUGCUGAAAGGUAUUGAAAAAUUUGUCUCAAAAUUUCAAUGCAACAAAAAUAUCACUUUGAAAGUAAAGAAUGCAAUUGAAUUAGCAAAAGAGCUCAAUCUCUUUAAACUUCCAACCUUAUCCCAAUUAUUACUGUUGUUGUUAAAGAAACACGGUGGUAUGUCAUUUCAUUUUAUAAGUGACGAAGUUGAUGGAGCGAUGUUUGACAAUCAAGAAGCUUUAUCGCUGAAGCAGAUUUUGGAGAGGGAAGUGGCUUUAAAGAAUUCCAUGAUUGUGUUGUUUCUGCAAUCUUUGGAAAAGCACAGGAUAUUGGUUUUAUCUGGAGAAUCAAAAGGCCAUGAUAAAUACAAGUACGAAGAAGCUGGUAUGCGUGUGUUUUACCUCAAUAAAUCAAUGCGAACAACGAAGAAAAAUUUUAACUUCUUGGUACAAUUUGAGAAGAAAAUUUCCGGGAUUGAAUCAGUUAUCAAACAUCCUGUUCAGGACAAAAAUCAUGAAAUAUCAUCAGCAAAAUCUGGAACGACCAGCUCUACCAUUCAACAAAAUUCAAAGCAGCGUAAAGUCUUAGAAAUUAAGAAUUUACAAGUAGAAUCAGCCGAAGAAAGUAAAAAGAUUUUUGAAGAACCAGUGGAUAUAGAGGAAAUUGCAGCUGCCUCACAUUAUCCAGAUGUUUCUGAAGAUAUCAAAACCCUAACCAAAGUGAAAUGCAACUCUGCGCAAGAAGUUGGACAUAACAUUGAAGGUACAAAGCCAAUACUGAUACAUCUUAAUUAUGAAAAUGAAACAGAAGAAAAAAGUAUUGUCAUGUUAGCUCUCUCGUUGGAACACUAUCUAGAUCGUGUUAAUAUUAAACGUUUAUUUUUUCAUAACACUGUGGAACAAAUGAUCACGUUUCGAAAAGUUUUGGAUUUAAUCAGAAGGGAUUAUUUUGUUUAUAACAAACAAACUGAAUGGAGUGUCAUCGACCGCUGCAAUAAAGUGUGUGAUCUUCCUGCAGACGUGGGUUAUAAUAUAAUAACCGACGUACACGGUAGUAGAGGAACAGACUUUUGUGAAACCGUAUGUGCUAUUGACGUAAAUGACACUAUGUUGCGACACAAGACGUUAGAAGGCAUGUCCAGAGUAACUGAACGCCUGAUAAUUGUUUGCGCGUGUAACAUACAGUCUGCUACUACAAAUUCAUCAACUGGACAUAUCAUUAAAGAUCUGUUACCAGAGUACCUAAAUGAGGUUUCUGUUGAAUGUUGCAAGAAUUCAAACGAAAAUUACAUUGAAACACAAGUUAAUGACAGAAAAUCGAUAGGAUAUGUAAAUACAAAUUCGCGUAGAUUCAAAAAUCUCAUGGAACGGAUAAAGAAAAUUGAAUAUAAAAAGAAUGAAUCAGAUGUGCAUGAUUUCGCGCGAGUUAUACGUAAAAAUUUCCAGCCUCCAACAAUCAAUGUGAGCUGCAAUUUUUCAAACGACAAUUCCUGUACAAUUAAUUGGAAUGAGGAAGGAUAUCGUUACGUAAUUGAAAUGGAAAACGACAGAUCACAAUGGCAGAACGUAGAACAUAUCAUCACGUUUGGUGGAUGUGUUAUCAAUAAUUUAGUUGUUGGAAAUAAAUACAAGUUUCGUGUUUUGGCUAGUAACGACUCUGGUCACGCUCAAAGUGUUGUAUCGUAUCGACAUGUAAACAAUCUUCCAUCAACUCUUGCAGAUAUGUCUAUCACUUUUAAAGGUAAGUUAUCACGAAACUGAAAUGAUAUAUUUUUGACCUCAUUUUAAUCAUAGUGCUUGUGAAACAUUUUAAUUUUUAUUAAUCACCGAAAAACGUUCUUAGUGUCCAAAGUUAAAUAUGAAAUUUCUCUAUGGUGAAAUGUUAACUUUGCUACUAUUAUUUUUCCUUGAGUUGAUAGGAUAUUUUGUAUAUCCAGUGCAGCUUUCUCCUGGUAAACAGAAGCAAAAAAGAUUUACAUGUUAUCAAACUGUAAUUGUAUUGAAAAAUCUUUUUUUUUUUAAUUUAAUCAAAUCUCUUUUCUUUGAAAUGCUUUGAAAAUAUAAAAUUAAAAUAAUCCAGCAUUACGAAAUCAAAGAUGCACUAGAGAUCUAUAGUUUAUUCUCAAGGUAAUUUUUUUUGGUGAAUAAGAAUCUUCAAUUUUCUCGACAAUUAUAUGUAGUUUAAUCGAACUUUAGAAAAUUGAACUAAAACGUUACUCUUGAAUCAAGCGGGUUUUUUAUUACAAUUACGACCUCUACUAUAAAGUUGGCUCCCUAUACUUUAACAAAAGCAAACGGAAAAUAAUCAAGGUAUUUUUUUAAUCCUGUUUGGUUGAUAGGCUCCUUUUUCUCUUUCACAUAAAGUGUGGCAAAUUAAAAAACAGUAAAAAAAUGAUUUGAUCCAGCAUAAAAAAAAUUAAUAAUUUUUCUAAUUGCAUUUUCAAAGAGGUAGGAAUGAAAAUUAUUUUUUUUGCGCGGUAUUAAUUAAAAUUAUUGGGGUAGUAAUUGGGAUAGCGGCUGGGGUAGUUAAAUCGUAUAAUCGAAGCGUAUAUUUUGUAAAUAUACAUUGUAGAUUCAAUUUUACUGUAAUACUCUUUGAAUUGGGUGUAAAGUUGUUAAACAAAAGUUUUACCUGUACAUUUAGUUCACAAUGCGCAGCUCCGCAAUAUUUAUAUGUUGCAGGAUAAUGCAGAUCUUAUGCCUUCGCAAAAUUUGGCCACCGUGUCAAAUUGAUCACUAUUAAAAAAAGAUGGGCAAUGUUGAACAGUCCGGCUCCUAAAGGAUAGUUACCAAACUUGUCCUUGGGAACUGUUAGGCUUUUUAUAGUUGGACGGCCUAGUAUAAUACAGGCCAUUAUCCAUAGCCUUAAAGGUUUGAGUAUACGGGUUGUGAAGUAGUGAAAUUCUUAUGAAGCUAUAGCCUCGUUUCCAUACUAUUUCAAUAUUGUAAAGAGAAUUUCAUGCGAAGAAAAUUUGUCAUCAGGACCGGGGAAAAGCCUCCUUUCCAAGUUAUUUAUAUUUAACCGUAAUGGCUGGCCUCAAUUCCAUGUUAUUUAGUCAUUGACACGAGAACAUCAUAACCAAAAGAUUUGCUGUAAGAGCCUUCUUUUCAAGUUAUUAGCAACCUUACGAAACAAGAACGGGAGCAUUUGCGACGGAGAAAAUACUAUUAUUUUUUCAACGAGCAUGUACAGAUCAGGACAAUCCCACAAAACAAGGUUGACAUUUUCCCUUCGAUUUGAAAAGAACCAUUUUGAGCUUGUGGAUAGAGCGUCAAGUAUUUAAGAAAGUAAAAAUGUGAUAUGGAAGUAUUACUGAUAAGAGUACACAGAAACAGCUUAUAUGAGUUUUUCCCUAAAUUGUGUCACUUUUUUUGCAUUUUUUUGAUAGUUGCCAUGGUUUUAUUUCAUAUUGUAACUUUCGUUUAACUUUUCUUAAGCAAUUAUUGGCGCGUUUUGCGUACAACGGGAUUUCAUGAAAAGUUAUUGUCAACAUUGUUGCAGAUAGUGCCGUAUUUUGUAAAAGUCUCUACUUACACUUGAAAAUUAUCGCUAAUAGAAACAAUUCAGUGCAAAUCUUAUGGGACGGUUUUCAUCUGCAAAACUUAUCAGUGGCAAAGGAAAGCACAUAAUGAUCUGGUCUGUAGAAUGAAACUACCAUCAAAAACACCACCCUAAACACUACCCCAACUUCAUUCUCAGGCCCCCUAUUUGCUUUCUUAUAUUGGGACGGCGCGAACAGGAAUGGGUCUUGAGGACGAGGUUGGGAUACCCCAUGUUUUCAAAUAACCGAUCGCGUGUCAGUGAAACAUCUUUGAAAAUAUUCGUGCAGACGAAAUCGAAUAUAUUGAGUACAAUUUGUUCUAUUUUUAUCACUAUAUCAUACUCAACCAAAACGAAUAUGUUUCAUUCAAUAAAUAAUUUUGAUAAAAUCCGGUCGUGUGAGGUUAGAGAAAAUUUAAUUUUGAUAAAAGUAGCAGCUAGUUUUUAUUAUACAUUAUUUUUUUUCAUGAGAAACCCGUUUACAAUUAACGGAGUAUUUACUAAGAGCUGUGUACCUAAGUCUCGUGUUCUUUAGAACUUGUUCUUAUAAAAAACCGAUCGCGUGUCAAAAAACAAUCUUUGAAAUAUUCGUGCAGCCGAAAUCGAAUAUAUUGAGUACAGUCGUUCUAUUUUUAUCACUAUAUCAUACUCAACCAAAACGAAUAUGUUUCAUUCAACAACGAGUUCUGAUAACAACAGGAUGUGAAUAAGAUAUCGAGGAAAUUAUUAAAUCUAACGAUAUCGAGAAACUGAAAAAAUUACUAUCCAUUCAUCCAAACAUCAAUCACAUGAGAGAUGAAGAUGAAUUCACACCAUUGAUGUGGACAGUACGUUUCAC